rnacentral:rRNA from 1 species
GACGAACGCUGGCGGCGUGCCUAAUACAUGCAAGUCGAGCGAGACUCUUCGGAGUCUAGCGGCGGACGGGUGAGUAACACGUGGGCAACCUGCCUGUAAGACUGGGAUAACACCGGGAAACCGGUGCUAAUACCGGAUAAUCCUUUUCCUCUCAUGAGGGAAAGCUGAAAGUCGGUUUCGGCUGACACUUACAGCUGGGCCCGCGGCGCAUUAGCUAGUUGGUGAGGUAACGGCUCACCAAGGCGACGAUGCGUACGCGACCUGAGAGGGUGAUCGGCCACACUGGGACUGAGAAACGGCCCAGACUCCUACGGGAGGCAGCAGUAGGGAAUCUUCCACAAUGGACGAAAGUCUGAUGGAGCAACGCCGCGUGAGCGAUGAAGGCCUUCGGGUCGUAAAGCUCUGUUGUUAGGGAAGAACAAGUACCGGAGUAACUGCCGGUACCUUGACGGUACCUAACCAGAAAGCCACGGCUAACUACGUGCCAGCCGCCGCCGUAAUAC